GGAGAGAUAGGCUGGGCUGUUGUAUCCCAUAGGCGACACGAUCGGAACCUUUUUGCACCUCAUUAGAGAAGGGGUCGUGAAAUUCGUCUUAAGAGAGCGACCUAGUCCGCGCCUCACCUUGCCUAUCUCCACAUUAUCGUGGUUUUUAUUGCAGCAACUUGUUACAUAUAAAAUUAGAGAACAAAUGGAGUACAAGCCUCAAUCCACAAGUUUCGUGAUCAAUCGUCAAAUUACAGCCGUGGUUCCAACAG
rnacentral:lncRNA from 1 species